rnacentral:rRNA from 1 species
CCCUUAGAUGUUCUGGGCCGCAUGCGCGCUACACUGACGAAGUCAGCGAGCAUGUCCUACGCCGACAGGUGCGGGGAAUCUUGUCAAACUUCGUCGUGAUGGGGAUUGAUUAUUGAAAUUCUUGAUCAUCAACGAGGAAUUCCUAGUAAGCGCAAGUCAGCAGCUUGCGUUGAUUACGUCCCUGCCCUUUGUACACACCGCCCGUCGCUACUACCGAUUGAAUGGUUUAGUGAGAUCUUCGGAUUGGCGCCACUGCGGCUCAGCAAUGGGCUCGGUGGAUGCCGAAAAGUUGAUCAAACUUGAUCAUUUAGAGGAAGUAAAAGUCGUAACA